rnacentral:tRNA from 1 species
GGGCCGUUAGCUCAGUUGGUAGAGCAUCUCCCUUUUAAGGAGAGGGUCGAAGGUUCAAAUCCUUCACGGCUCA